GACGAACGCUGGCGGCGUGCCUAAUACAUGCAAGUAGAACGCUGAAGGAGGAGCUUUCUCUUCUGGAUGAGUUGCGAACGGGUGAGUAACGCGUAGGUAACCUGCCUGGUAGCGGGGGAUAACUAUUGGAAACGAUAGCUAAUACCGCAUAAGAGUAGAUGUUGCAUGACAUUUACUUAAAAGGUGCAAUUGCAUUACUACCAGAUGGACCUGCGUUGGAUUAGCUAGUUGGUGGGGUAACGGCUUACCAAGGCGACGAUACAUAGCCGACCUGGGAGGGUGAUCGGCCACACUGGGACUGAGACACGGCCCAGACUCCUACGGGAAGCAGCAGGAGGGAAUCGUCGGCAAGGGACGGAAGUCUGACCGAGCAACGCCGCGGGAGUGAAGAAGGUUUUCGGAUCGGAAAGCUCGGUUGUAAGGGAAGAACGAGUGUGAGAGUGGAAAGUUCACACUGUGACGGUAUCUUAUCAGAAAGGGACGGCUAACUACGUG
rnacentral:rRNA from 1 species